ACCUCUAGAUGAACUCUUAGCAGAGGGAUAAUUUGGCCGAACCAUCGCACCUCCCUAUAACUCCUACACAAACAACACUCACCAACAGCAAAUAUCACAGAUGUUUAUCACAGAUCAACAUGAUCACAGAUGUCUUGCCACAGAUGUCGGGUAGCAGUCAACUCAUCGAUCAUCGUGAAUGCAGUGCAACGAAAAUCAACUUCUGCACCUGCUUCAAAUAAUCAAAUAGAAAAAGAAAAGAACUAAUAUGA